AACGUAGGUUCCGAGCGUUAUCCGGAUUUACUGGGCGUAAAGCGCGUUCAGGCGGUUUGGCAAGUCGGGCAUGAAAUCUCUGGGCUCAACCUGGGGAGGUUGUCCGAUACUGCUGAACUGGAGGGCAGUAGAGGGUGGUGGAAUUCCGGGUGUAGUGGUGAAAUGCGUAGAGAUCCGGAGGAACACCAGUGGCGAAAGCGGCCACCUGGACUGCACCUGACGCUGAAACGCGAAAGCUAGGGGAGCGAACGGG
rnacentral:rRNA from 1 species